rnacentral:lncRNA from 1 species
GCCUCCAAUUGCAGUCACUGGUUAAAAACCAUUCCUAAAAGCUGACCAUAUGCUUCUGGAUGGGUGUAACUGAUCCAAACCAGAAGCCCCUGGGCCUCACUCACCUGGACUAAAAGGAGGCUGUGGAGGGCCCUGUGGUUUCACCCCAGGACUCAGUCCUAGGAAUAUGUAAGAGGGCGUGGCUCUGCCAGCAGGAAGCUGUACUC